AUAACUGAUCACAAGUCAAAGAUGGAGUUCCUGCUUGUAUUUGUUGCAGCUUUCAUUGCAGCCUGCGAUGCUUAUAAUUUUGCUCCACUAGAUGUGAAACCGUGUGUAAGUGGUGGAGAGUUUGCGGAGAUCGCUACCCCAUAGUGUGAAGCUGGAAAGGAAUGCAAAGCUGGUGCUGGCUCUCGCUUCCAGUUGAGGUUCACAGGGAUGAACCGUGAAAGGUACCCUCUUUACCUGUGGGCGGACGUUCGAAUUAUUAACCAUCCUGGAGAUUCCUUCGUCUACAGCAGCAAUUGUCAAAGUGAAUGGACAAAUUACCCCUGCGUCGCGCAACCCGGUCGGAAUGUCACCGGCUAUGUUGCAAUUAAAAUUCCUUCAUCUUUUGAAAAGGUAGGACGGUAGUUUUGGGAGCGUCAGAGCAACGUUCAUGUCGCCCCUUGUUCCAUUUCAGUCACUAACGAGAAUAUUCUUGUGUGGGAGAGAUUUACUAGACAGAUUUCACAUGGUACUAUACAACAAGCACAACACACACAUAACGUACACAACACAAGAUCAACGAUACAGGGCGAUGCAAAUUGCGGAUAUUAACAAAUGAGAGGCAAUGAAUGAUAAAUGAUCAUGGAUGGGAAAAAAUAUGGAUGGUGAAAAAAAUAUGUACAAAAUAUGAAUUCGCUUAUGACGGGACGCCGGCGAUGGUGACAGGACUGCCGACAGCGCGAACAGAAGGGUGAUGGCCCCAACAGCGCACAAAACCAUCCUCCCCUAGCGCAAACAGUUCCCUCCGGAGGACGCUGACGACGCGAACCCGCAAAGAUCUCACAAGCAGGAAGAUCGGGACGUCGCGCCUACGCUGCGCCACAGCCUUACAUCUGGCACCCCACAAGACCUGGGCCCCACAAGCCGUCACAAGCGCACUGUGCCGCUGAAUAUUCUUGAACAUUGACGGUAUCGGAUGUGGUUCAAUGCAUAUCUGGGUGUUCUAACCCAGACCCUAACCCAGGUAACCUGAAGAAGUGCACGAAAGUCUCGUUUUUUCGCAAACUAAGCUGUUUAAUGCUGGCAACCAUUUUCUCUUUACUUGUCCAAUUCACAUUAAACGAUUUCAAAUUGCAAUUUCAUUUCAGUAAGAAGGAAUAAAUGCAACUAUAAAUAAAUGCUUUUUUUAAGCAG